ACAGGCUUCCUCAAACUCCGGCCCUCCAGAUGUUGCUGAACUGCAACUCCAAUGAUUCUAUGAAUGAAAUAGGCUGAGAAUCAUGGGAGUUGUAGUUCAGCAACAUCUGGAGGGCUGGAGUUUGGGGAAGCCUGCUUUAGAA